rnacentral:rRNA from 1 species
AGAGUUUGAUUCUGGCUCAGGAUGAACGCUGGCGGCGUGCUUAACACAUGCAAGUCGAGCGAAGCAAUUUAAGUGAAGUUUUCGGAUGGAUCUUAAAUUGACUGAGCGGCGGACGGGUGAGUAACGCGUGGAUAACCUGCCUCACACAGGGGGAUAACAGUUAGAAACGACUGCUAAUACCGCAUAAGCGCACAGGAUCGCAUGGUCCGGUGUGAAAAACUCCGGUGGUAUGAGAUGGACCCGCGUCUGAUUAGCCAGUUGGCAGGGUAACGGCCUACCAAAGCGACGAUCAGUAGCCGACCUGAGAGGGUGACCGGCCACAUUGGGACUGAGACACGGCCCAA